GUGUGUGUGUGUGUGUGUGUGUUUGUGUAUAUAUAUAUAUAUAUAUAUAUAUAUAUAUAUAUAUACACAAACACACAUACACACAU
rnacentral:miRNA from 1 species